rnacentral:ncRNA from 24 species
GAUACAAAGAAUUAUAACGUUCUUCCAAAACGAUAAUCGUGAGAGGAAACAGGCGUAAAUCCUGUGCUCCCCCGGAACGGUUAAAGCCCGGUCGACUCACCAUUACCUUAUAGCCAUUG